rnacentral:rRNA from 1 species
GACGAACGCUGGCGGCGUGCCUAAUACAUGCAAGUCGACCUUAGUGGCGAACGAGUGAGUAACACGUGGGUAACCUGCCCAUCAGAAGGGGAUAACACUUGGAAACAGGUGCUAAUACCGUAUACUGAUGGAUGGACCCGGGUUGCAUUAGCUAAUGGGUGAGGUAACGGCUCACCAAGGCCACGAUGCAUAGACGACCUGAGAGGGUGAUAGGCCACAGUGGGACGGAGACACGGCCCAAAGUCCUACGAGAGACAGCAGUAGGGAAUCUACGGCAAUGGACGAAAGUAUGACCGAGCAACGCCGCUUGAGUGAAGAAGGUUUGCGGAUCGUAAAACUCUGUUGUUAGAGAAGCGGUAUCUAACCAGAAAGCCACGGCUAACUACGUGCCAGCCGCCGCGGUAAUUC